ensembl:lncRNA
CGUUUUUUAUGUAAAGUAAUAUGACGGGAGCUUCAUCUCUCCAACAUAAACCCCGUUCCUGGUGUUGAUCCGAGAAGAUAAAUGUAAAAAUGGAGAGCUACGUGACUUGAAACACGUAACAGAUCGAGCUCCAACAGUUUAAUUACGCGUCCUGAUGUUGCGCUUUAAAGCCGACGGAUCAAACGGCCGUCGCCGUUCCUCUCGUCCCUCUAAUCCACGCAUGAAAGGCGAACAUUGCACUUAAAACACGUCUAAAAUGUCACUUCCUCACCUCGCCGAGCAUCGCUGAUACGCGCCGAUAACUCCAGCGUAGCUGUGAUACGGAUCUUUAAUUAAAUUUCCACUGUCUAAAAACUCAUCUCUGAUGCUCUCUUAAUAAGGUUUAAUCUAUAAUUAUGUCAAUAAAUAUAUUCAUAUAUAAUACACAUGAUCGUUUAUCAAAUCUUAGAAAUAUCUGACACGUUUUUACGCUGAUGUUUUUGUCGUUAAAAUUGUAACUGUAAAAAAAAAAAAUCGCAUUUUUAAUUAAAAGUUCGUUAAAAUAAUGCUUUGAUUAUGGGUUGUUGUUUGUUUUGCAUUUCCGCGUCAUUUCGAGAGAGAAAAAACAACAACAGGAGGUUAUUGCUAGGUUAAAGCUAAUAAAGCUAACGACUUUUGUUAGCUAACUCCACAUUUAACUUAGCAAUUUGAAUUUUUUUUUUAAAUGCUAGGCGUACAGUUAAACUUCCCACGAUGGCACUUGUGAGCGUAGCGUGUUAGCUGUAUUUAUGCUAGCACUUUACAUGUAGUAUAUGGGUUGUUGUUUUUUUUUAAACUUUUGCUAGCACAUUCAUAUUUGUAACUUUUUGUUUAUAGUCUUUUGUGCUAAUCGCAUGCUAGCUAUACGAUUUCAUGUCAGGAUUUUUUUUUUUGUACUUUCACUACGUUUGCUUCGAGCUUGAUAACGACAUUCAUUCCUUCACGAGUUUCAUUUGGUUUCAGGUUAUACGCCUGCUGAGAUUCGGUUUAAAAUUAGCAGCAGUUUCGUUCGGCUAGUAGCUUCCUGACGCGAUUCCCUUUGCGCUAGUAAUUUGCUAGCUACCUUUAAUUGCUAGCAGCAGAAUGUUUUUGGGUUGUUUUUUGGGGGGUUUUUUUGCUAGUAGCUGCUCAUAAUAUACUUUACUUUGUGCUUGUAGUGUUCUCGCUGUGUUUUAUUUGACCUUUAUUUAUUAUUCAAUCUAUUUACUCUAGGAAGAUUGUUCUAGAUACGUAUGCUAGUAAUGGCACGGUUUUGUUUGUGUAGUGCUAAUUAUUAGUUUUAUUAUUUUUACUGGAUAAUCUAGUGUUUUAAAUGAUUUUUUCCGAGGUGACUGUACUGUUACAGUUAGCAUAGCACUUCAUUACGAGUUUCUGGUCAGUCCUGCGCAGGCUGCCCGGGUUGUGUCGGUGAUUGGGUUACGUUGUAGGUGACACUAAGCUCGGUUAGUCAUCGCGGUGACCUCUUCCUCCUCCUCCUCCUCCUCCUCGUAAGCAGAGUAGCCUAGCAGGAAUAAUUUAUAAGCAGCACCUCCGCACUUCAAUUUAGCUUCAUCUCCUGAGCAGGGCCCCAGGGCUCGACUCAACAAAGCAACAACGGCCGCUGAACUUUUGAUCCGAUGAAUUCUUAAUGACAGAUUUGAUUACAAACACGGCCUCGUAUUAGAUGAGUUCAGUGUCUGGCUGCGAAAAGGGCGACCGCCAGCAACGUGGCACAGACAUGACACUGGCAUUUCUGCUGUUAGCAUCACGCUAAUCACUAAUCACUUCACACAAAGGCACUUGCUAACAUUUACAUCAGACCUGAAUUCACACGUACAGUUAGCUGUUUUAUUAUUAUUUUUUAAACCACCACCGCAAGGUUUCAAGCUAAUUAUUUUAACACGUCAAUCAAUUCGCACUCAGCCAGCUCAUCUUUAACGUACCGUUUCCUAUUGUGCCUCAUGCUAAUCGCUAAUCACUUCACACAUUUCUACCAGACACUGAGAAAUCCGCAUAAAAUCGUGCUAAUCGCUAAUCACAGCCGUUAUGAAAACCACACCAAGAUGCUUUUUUUUUUUAAAAACAAACAGUUCUUUUUGCUCUUUUUCACUUCGCUAGUCGCUAACAACCAUGACGUAUUUAUAACUAAUUCUUUACCUUUAGAGUCCAACCCAUUGCUCCAGGUUCAUGCUAACUGCUAAUCAUUUCCCUCUCAGCUGUGAUUAAAAAUCUAUUAAGAGUUACAAUCCAAACCGUUGCGCUAAUCACUCUAAUCUCCUCACACUUAUCUGUCAUUCAUUAACAUUUAUAGGUCGACCCCUUGCUAAGCGCUAAUCGUUUCACUAGCUGUUAUAUAAAAAAAAAGACACCAUAUUAAUGAUCAAUUUAACUUUAAAGUCCAAACCAUCAUGCUAAUCGAUCAUGCUAAGCGCUAACCACCUCACACUCUGCUGUUAUGAGAAACAUCACGUUUGAGGCUAAUUCUUUCACAUUUAAAGUCUGACCCUUUGCUAAUCGCUAAUCCUUUAAUUUCACUGACUAGCUGUUAUUUAAAACACACACACACACACACACACACACACACACACACACACACACACAUACAUACCUACCGAGCUAAUGAUAAAUUUCUGCUGUUCUAUAACAAAUCAGACCAUCUUCAAAACUAAUUCUUUAACAUGUAUAGUCCAACUCUUUGCUAAUCGCUAAUCACUUCACCCUUGAUUAGCUGUUAUAGAAACUGCCCCAUGUUUAAGGCUAAUUCUUUACCACAGCCCAAACUUUUACCCAGCCUCAUGCUAACAAUAUAACCCUCAACUAGCUGUUCUAAAAAAAAAAAAAUGUUUAUCCCACCAUGUUUAAGGCUAAUUCUUUAACAUUUAGAGCUCAAGCCCUUGCUAAUCGCUAAUCACGUCACGCUCAAAAAUCUGUUAUGAAAACUACUCCAUGUUUGUUUGAUUUUUAAGUAUAAACAUUUAGAGUCCACACCAUUGUGCUAAUCUCUUAGCAUGAUUGCUAAUCCCUUCAGACUAAGUUGUUAUUAAACAAAAAAACACUCCAUGUUUAUAGUAUUUUAUUUGAACAUUUAAAACUCCAACCUAUAGCUAAUAUUUUUAAUAAUAUUAACCAAGUUAUUGAGUUUGUUGUGUUGAUUUUAUUUGGUUUUUGUUGCAGUGGUGAUGACAAACAAAGGCUGAAAAUGUCCUUAGUUAGCCGUGUUAGUUGGAUUAGCCAAUGAGGCGGCUCCUGUAAUUGGCUCGUUAGCUUUGCUGUGCAUCCAGCUGUGACGAGAUCUACUGAUGUAGGAUGUGUUGGGCAAGCAAGGCACUGGGCGAGUUAGCAACUUAACACUCCUUCAUCUUGGAUAGGUGACGGGGAACCGGAGGCUCGGAAAGAGUCGGAGGAAACUUCUCGAGUGGAGAAAGUAAGAAGGAAAGAAAGAAAGAACCGAAGAAAAGGAAGAAAUAAAAGAAGGACAGAUUUGGGGGGGAAAUACAGAAAGAAAGAAAGAAAGAAGCUGCUGAUUGGUCGGCUGCUGUAGAUGAUUAGUUAUUAUCAGUUGAAAUUCAAUUUUUGUUCAAUUCUUUAACUUCUGAAUAAUUAAAACUUUUAUAACCUUUCUAUGUCUUUCUUUCCUUCACAGUUCGUUUCUUUCUGUCAUCUCCAGCAACCAUUACUGUGUAGUGUUUAUUAAAUAUUAUAAACUUCACUAAAGCGCCCCUUUAACCACGGACAAGAAGGACGGGAAGAAAAAAGAAAGAAGCCAGGACAUACUUUAAAAAAAAAAAAAAAAAAAGAUGAUUUUAUUACGGUUUAUAGAAUUAAAAAUAGACUUAAGAAAGUAAAUUGUCCUAGUAAUGAUCAACCGUGUCUCCAGGGUACUUUUGUCAGUGUGUGUGUGUGUGCGAGGGUGAAGUUAACGUGGUGGUGAAAGUUCUGAUCCAUCAGCGGCUCAGCGGGUCAGGGGCGUGUGUGAGAUGGGUCGUUCUUCACCGUGGACAGAAACCCACUGAGACUCCCAUAUGGAGAACCGUCUGAGCCAAAAGCCCACGAGAGACGGAUGUCCACGUAUGAGAUGAGCACUCCUCACACGCCGUGACAGGUCACACACACACACACACACACACACACACACAGCAUAGAGCAGAGAGUGGGAUGGAAAAUCCUCUGGGUAUGACUUCAUUACUGAAAUAAAAUCAUUAAAAAUAAUACAGAAUGUGUAUAAACAUUAAUAAAUAAAAAUAAUAAAAUGCAUGAAUAAAUGAUCAAUAUGAAGC